rnacentral:rRNA from 1 species
GACAGAGGGUGCAAACGUUGUUCGGAAUUACUGGGCGUAAAGCGCGUGUAGGCUGCUCUGCAAGUCGGAUGUGAAAGCCCUGGGCUCAACCUAGGAAGUGCACUCGAAACUGCAGAGCUUGAGUCCUGGAGAGGAAGGCGGAAUUCUCGGUGUAGAGGUGAAAUUCGUAGAUAUCGAGAGGAACACCGGUGGCGAAGGCGGCCUUCUGGGCAGUUUGGCUGGCACUGAGGCGCGACAGCGUGGGGAGCAAACAGG